CCCUUGGAAGGAUUAUUUGAGCCAUUCAUCUAAUGAGUCCUGUAGUAGACGUGUGACCUAUUCGUCCAGUUAAUGGCCUUCAAGCUUCUGAUAGUACACUUACAAAGUUUCAUGAUGGAAACCUUCACGUGGAACUCCGAUGAAACGGGCAUUACCAAUGAAGGAACUUCUAUGGGAGAAAUGUUAAGGUGAUUCAUGCAAGGAGAGAUAAAAAGGUUUUGUGCUUCCAUUGCCAAUUUUCAAAGGCAUGUACAUCUAUAAUGAAAAGCUGUAAUGUUGUUGAAUCUCUGUAUAAACGGCAGGCAGCACUGUUAAUGUGGUUAUGUAA